rnacentral:rRNA from 1 species
UGCAGCAAACGCAUUAAGCACUCCGCCUGGGGAGUACGACCGCAAGGUUGAAACUCAAAGGAAUUGACGGGGGCCCGCACAAGCGGUGGAGCAUGUGGUUUAAUUCGAAGCAACGCGAAGAACCUUACCAGGUCUUGACAUCCUUUGACCACUCUAGAGAUAGAGCUUUCCCUUCGGGGACAAAGUGACAGGUGGUGCAUGGUUGUCGUCAGCUCGUGUCGUGAGAUGUUGGGUUAAGUCCCGCAACGAGCGCAACCCUUAUUGUUAGUUGCCAUCAUUUAGUUGGGCACUCUAGCGAGACUGCCGGUGACAAACCGGAGGAAGGUGGGGAUGACGUCAAAUCAUCAUGCCCCUUAUGACCUGGGCUACACACGUGCUACAAUGGGAAGUACAACGAGUCGCUAGACCGCGAGGUCAUGCAAAUCUCUUAAAGCUUCUCUCAGUUCGGAUUGCAGGCUGCAACUCGCCUGCAUGAAGCCGGAAUCGCUAGUAAUCGCGGAUCAGCACGCCGCGGUGAAUACGUUCCCGGGCCUUGUACACACCGCCCGUCACACCACGAGAGUUUGUAACACCCGAAGUCGGUGAGGUAACCUUUUUGGAGCCAGCCGCCUAAGGUGGGAUAGAUGA